CAGCUGCAAGACACUGCUCCAACUCAUCAGCCACAAGCAGCAAAGAAAAAAAAGAGGAAACAAGAAGGAUCUGCUGCUGAGAGGCAUCACAUCACGGGUAGCUGCAAGUUAUCAGCUCAGGUCCCACGUACAAGGUGCUGUAACAGGAACUGGCCGAUCUGCUGCAGAGCCUACAUGCUAACAGCCCACAGCCCUCCUGGCUCCAAGCUCUCUGAGUGGAGUGAUGAGGAAAGAGACAGCAUCCUUCUUCCUUUCUCCUGAUUUCUUUCUGGUGACUUUUGGGAGCCUGAAGCACUAUUUUUCAAAGAGAUCAGCAUGAUCAUACUCAUUCUGCCAAGUAAGCAACCAGACCAAUCCAGUUUCUGACUUCUGUCUGUUCCAAUUAUCCAAAUCCACUGACCACAGACCGGUGACUGCACUUUGCUAUCCACUGAACAGGGAGCAUCAUCCUGUACUUUAGCUCUGGUUGGUGUAGUUACAUAUGUUCUAUUGUUACACAAUACAGCCCAGCUCCCUAUUAUACUAGAAUUUUAACUGUGUAUAAUGUAUUACAUCAUGUAAUCUCAGUUUACGCCCUG
rnacentral:lncRNA from 1 species